AAACGAUAGCUAAUACCGCAUAACGUCUUCGGACCAAAGAGGGGGACCUUCGGGCCUCUCGCGCUAANAUUAGNCCAGGUGGGAUUAGCUAGUUGGUGGGGUAAAGGCUCACCAAGGCAACGAUCCCUAGCUGGUCUGAGAGGAUGAUCAGCCACACUGGAACUGAGACACGGUCCAGACUCCUACGGGAGGCAGCAGUGGGGAAUAUUGCACAAUGGGGGAAACCCUGAUGCAGCCAUGCCGCGUGUAUGAAGAAGGCCUUCGGGUUGUAAAGUACUUUCAGUCGUGAGGAAGGUGGUGCAGUUAAUAGCUGCAUCACUUGACGUUAGCGACAGAAGAAGCACCGGCUAACUCCGUGCCAGCAGCCGCGGUAAUACGGAGGGUGCGAGCGUUAAUCGGAAUUACUGGGCGUAAAGCGCAUGCAGGCGGUCUGUUAAGCAAGAUGUGAAAGCCCGGGGCUCAACCUCGGAACCGCAUUUUGAACUGGCAGACUAGAGUCUUGUAGAGGGGGGUAGAAUUUCAGGUGUAGCGGUGAAAUGCGUAGAGAUCUGAAGGAAUACCGGUGGCGAAGGCGGCCCCCUGGAC
rnacentral:rRNA from 1 species